UCUCUCUGGGCUUACUUUUUUUUUUUUUUAAUUCCAUUUGAAAAAUGGAGACAUUAGACCAGCUCCUAACAGUUCUCUCCUGUACAAAUGUACUCUUCCAUCCAGUCUUCCAUCCACUCCCGUACAUGGUUUUUUAGCACCUCCCAAUCUCUAACAGGAACUGCACAGGAAGACUGAGUCCCUCACACAUGGUGAGAAGACAUCCCUGCAAAACAGGAGAGGCCCCAAAGCGGGUCAGCAGUAUGAGGGCUGGACAUGAGUCAGAUGCCUGCAAGUGAAGGAGCAGAAAGAGCCCAAGGAAAAGGCUGAGUAGUCUCUGUCACCAUGACGUGGGUUUCCUGUUCCUCAGGCCCAGAUGGCAAACUUCAAGACUAUCAAGGACACGGAGUGCCGUGAUCGGCCCCUGCGCCUGGUGCUCCAGUUCUGAGCCUGGCCUUGCCAUCCUGAUGCUGUAACCUUCGUCAGGUUUCUUUACUCACUUAGCUGUGCUUCCGCUGGAAAAUGUUAUUUCUUUUUUGGACCUAUCCUGCUGCCUAGACAGUAUUGUCACGAAGCUUCCUUCUUCAACUGUGAUCCUUGCUUUCCAGCACUCCUGACUCUGCUGCAGUCCUCCCCACACUCUGCAGUAAGUCUUCCACAACAGUCUGGUUGGGACCACAGAGCACAGGAGUGUGGAGGGAGCACUCAGUCUCCUGAUCCUGCCUUUGCUGAGCAGAAAAGCCUGGCUCUGAACUACCACACCUUCUGUUCCCAUUUUCCUUACAGUGAGAAGCUCCUCCUGGGGACCACCUUCAGUUCCUUGUGGCCCUCACCUCACUGCCUCACUGCCCCAUAUUAGCUCUAACACAUCCUUUAUCAUGUAGAGCCAAUCCCUAUGUGAGAUCAACAUCCCUAAGACAUGUUUCCAUUAGUUAGCUCAAGAAGUAACAUAUCACUUCUUAGCCUUUGGGUGAUGGCCAUGACAACUUUGACAUUUAUUACUCUUAUAAAUACCCUUUUUUGUCUCUCAUCAUAUAGUCAAGAUUGUGCUAUCCCUUGGCUGCUGUAUCCCUGGGGGCCAGAGCAUCCACUUUAUUUGCCAAAUCAGUGUUGGAACUUCAGAGUCGUCCUGAACCAAACUACCUAAGGAGGCUAUUAAUAGCCUAAUGUCCCUGUAGAGCUUAAAUACUUAUUAUCUUGGUACCAUAAAUUCCAAGGGAGGCACACAGUGUCAAGGUAGCAAAGUAUGCUGUUCCAGCCUGGACCAUGGCCUCUCCAUCCUUGCUAGAUACACACACAGGUGAAUUCACCCUCACUGCUCUACACCUGAAUUGUUCCUGCCAGUUUGAGAGCCAUGAGUGACAUCAUGACAUCACGUGGUUUCCCUUUUUGAAACCAGAAACAACUGACUUGAUGCCUCCAAGACUACCCCUAGAUCUCCAUGUCAAGCUUACAAAUGAAGACUCCCAGAGUCCUAAAACCAUGGGUAAACGUUUAUAACAUGAACUCAAGAGAAGAAGCAAGUGCUUCUCUUGGGGUCUGGAGGUGGAGGGGUCGGAAAGUGUUACUCCCUGUCUCUUAGGCUGAGCCAGCAAAGUAGUAUUUUCCUUAUCAAGAGCAAGGCCUGUGACUUGCCUCACCCUCCUAGCAUAAAACAUUGCUCAACUAACAAGGUCACGAGCACUCCAGUUCUUCCAUUUUGCAGCAACUUCUGAGGUCAAGAUCAUGGCUAUACUUCUAACAGAGAAACAGGAAGAUAAAACCUGUUAGCCAUGUGUUUCUGCUUAAUCUGAAAUAUUUCCCCGGGCUCAUGGUUGUACAUACACACACACACACACACACACACACACACACAGAGGAAUGCUGUCUUUUGACUAAAAAAAUUGUUUACCCAUAAUGCACUUUUAAAAACAAAGUUAACAGUACCCCAAGUCUGAUACCUAGGGAUAGACCCUCUUCCUCUUUCUUGGCUAGUUUUAUGUCAACUUGAAUACCAGCUAGAGUCAUUUGGGAAGAAAACUCUCAAGAAAAUGCCUGCAUAAGAUAUAUCUGGUGGCAAAUCUGUAGGACAUUUUUUAAACUACUGAUUGAUGUGUAAGGACCAGCCCAGUAUAGGUGGUGCCAUGCCUGGGUUGUAAGAAAGCAAAAGACUGGUGGCCCUAAGUAGGUCAAGAGGGAAAAAGCCAGUAAGCAGCAUUUCUCCAUGGACUUUGUAUCAGUUCCUGCCUCCGGAUUCCUGCCGUGAGUCUCUGCCCUGAUCCUUCAGUGACUAUGGUGUAAAAGUGUAAGCUGGAAUAAAGCCUUGUCUCCCCAAGUAGGAUUUGAUAAUGGCAUUUAAUCACAGCAAGAGAGACCGUAACUAGGACACCCUCAUUGCCUGGUUUGCUUAGAAGUCCAGGAUUUGACGUCAGAAGAAAUGAGACAAGGAACCUGGCUUCGACUUUAACUGCGUGCUUAACCUGGAGCAAACAUUUGCCGGGACUGUACUGCCUAACAUACAAGACACAAAGUUGUUCACACCAGGUUUGUGAAGAUGAGAGUAAUAAAGCCCAUGAUAUAUAUAUAUAUUCAUUUAAACAACAUAUAUUCAUUUAAGCAACAUAUAUAUUCAUUUAAAAAAGACUUCCAAACACUUGUUUAUUUAUUAUUUGGCCGCAUGUGUGUGCCGGUAUGAAUUUACGUGCCCUAUGUGUGUGCAGGAACCCGCAGAGGCCAGAAGAAGGAUGAAGGCACCCUGGAACUGGAGUUAUAGGAGGAUGUGAGUGUUGUGAGUGUUGGGAAUGAAAGCCUGCUUUUCUGCGUGAGUAGCAAACACCUUUCACGGCCCCUUACGCUAGAUCUUUACUGCAGGAAGUCUGGAACACUCACGAGCUCUGGGAAGAGUAGGCUUCCCCUUUGAAUGCUACUGGACACACUCCUUUUAUUGUUAAUGAGCACGAGCAGGCAGGAGGAGGGGGCUGCAGGUUAUAUCUACAGGAGGUCUGAACCAUUCUCUCGGUGAGGCCUGGCCUGUACCUGCACUAUGCCAGGAGGAAGCGAGCUUUCCACCACUAGACACAUUUGAUAAAUAACUACCUAACAGAGGAGCAGUGGAGAAAAUGGAAACACCACCUAGAUCAGAGGUUCUCAACCUGAGGGUUGCAGCCCCUUCGGGGGUCCACUGAAACCCAAGGAUUCUGCAGGACACUUUAGUUCUCUCUUGAGAGUGCAUGAAAUCAUGCUGAAGGCGUAAGAAAGACAUUCACACAGCAGAGCUCCGUGUGUUUCAGCAGACAGGCCAGGUGCAGGAACCUGCCUCAUGCUUCGGAGUGGCAUAAGUGUCCACACUGCACAUGCUGCUACUACUUACUUGCCCUUUCCCAGUGGUCUGUGUGCCCACAUGUUGUCUACUCGGAAAGCCAGGUCGGAUUCCCCAAGCCUGAUGUUCAAACUGCUCCUUAUGACUCCAGUCAGUGUAACCAACCGAUGAGACCUUCUGGUCACCUAACCAACCAUCUCUCUCUAGCCUCCACCCCACACUGGAUUGUCCUCUCACCCACCUCUGUAUGUCGGAGGCCCAUUCAUCCUUCUAGGCACAGUUUCAAUGCUGCUGACUCCAGCAACCCUUUCCCACCUACGGUCAGCAGGAAUGAUUUCCUCUGCCCUGCCCUGACUUCAUCUCUCCUUCCCUUUCAAGCCUUAGUAUUAGAGCUAACUGGGGACACACUCACACACAAUCCCUCAAGUCUGAAUUCCUUAAGAAGUUCUACGUCCCUCUGCUCCUUCACCCUCUCUUCACGGCCCUUCACAAUUCUCAGCACCAGGAAGUGCUUUCAGUUGAAUGAGCAAAUAAAUCAAUUUUUCCCUUCCAAACACAGAAGCCACCAGCCAAUUGGCUCAGUCAAUCCUUCUCCCCCCUGGGGUCUGGUCUGGAACACAGACAGAGACCUGAGAGAUGUCAGCAAGUAGAGAUCACGGGAAAAUGAGAAGCACAGGGGAACACUCGGCCAGUAACGAUGACGUCACAGAAUGCAGAACUAGGACCCAGGAUCGGUGACACAUCCGUGAACCCAGCAUUGGAGUGUAUGAGAUGGGAAGGAAGAUCCAGCCUGAGGUACACAGUGAAGACCCUAUCUCAAAAAGAAAUAAAACAAAAUACCCCUAAACCCAUAAGUUACUGAUUAGUCACCAUAUUUGAACAGAGAACAUAUUUGUGAAGGCUGUUAUUUGGCAUUUCUAUUAAACAU